ACAUGAUUAAAGGUAUUCCGGUAGACGAUGGGGAUGCGUUCCAUUAGAUAGUAGGCGGGGUAACGGCCCACCUAGUCUUCGAUGGAUAGGGGUUCUGAGAGGAAGGUCCCCCACAUUGGAACUGAGACACGGUCCAAACUCCUACGGGAGGCAGCAGUGAGGAAUAUUGGUCAAUGGGCGAGAGCCUGAACCAGCCAAGUAGCGUGAAGGAUGACUGCCCUAUGGGUUGUAAACUUCUUUUAUAAAGGAAUAAAGUCGGGUAUGGAUACCCGUUUGCAUGUACUUUAUGAAUAAGGAUCGGCUAACUCCGUGCCAGCAGCCGCGGUAAUACGGAGGAUCCGAGCGUUAUCCGGAUUUAUUGGGUUUAAAGGGAGCGUAGAUGGAUGUUUAAGUCAGUUGUGAAAGUUUGCGGCUCAACCGUAAAAUUGCAGUUGAUACUGGAUAUCUUGAGUGCAGUUGAGGCAGGCGGAAUUCGUGGUGUAGCGGUGAAAUGCUUAGAUAUCACGAAGAACUCCGAUUGCGAAGGCAGCCUGCUAAGCUGCAACUGACAUUGAGGCUCGAAAGUGUGGGUAUCAAACAGGAUUAGAUACCCUGGUAGUCCACACGGUAAACGAUGAAUACUCGCUGUUUGCGAUAUACUGCAAGCGGCCAAGCGAAAGCGUUAAGUAUUCCACCUGGGGAGUA
rnacentral:rRNA from 1 species